CGGCGAGUGAAGCGGCAAGAGCUCAAAUUUGAAAUCUGGUCCUUUCAGGGCCCGAGUUGUAAUUUGCAGAGGAUGCUUUGGGUGCGGCCGCGGCGUAAGUGCCCUGGAACGGGCUGUCUCAGAGGGUGAGAAUCCCGUCUUGAGUCGCCGGUUCGCGCCCGUGUAAAGCUCCUUCGACGAGUCGAGUUGUUUGGGAAUGCAGCUCUAAAUGGGUGGUAAAUUUCAUCUAAAGCUAAAUAUUGGCUGGAGACCGAUAGCGCACAAGUAGAGUGAUCGAAAGGUUAAAAGCACCUUGAAAAGGGAGUUAAAUAGCACGUGAAAUUGUUGAAAGGGAAGCGCUUGCAACCAGACUCGGCCGCAGAGGCUCAACGGGCACGUGUGCCUGUGCACUCCUCUGUGGUCGGGCCACCAUCAGUUCUGGCGACCGGUCAAAGGCCCCUGGAAUGUGUCGUCCUCCGGGACGUCUUAUACCCAGGGGUGCAAUGCGGCCAGCCGGGACUGAGGAACGCCCUUCGGCACGGAUGCUGGCAUAAUGGUUGUAAGCGGCCCGUCUUGAAACACGGACCAAGGAGUCUAACAUCCACGCGAGUGUUCGGGUGUCAAACCCGUGCGCGCAGUGAAAGCGAACGGAGGUGGGAUCCCCGCAAGGGGCGCACCAUCGACCGAUCCUGAAGUCUUCGGAUGGAUUUGAGUAAGAGCGUGGAUGUUGGGACCCGAAAGAUGGUGAACUAUGCCUGAAUAGGGCGAAGCCAGAGGAAACUCUGGUGGAGGCUCGCAGCGGUUCUGACGUGCAAAUCGAUCGUCAAAUUUGGGUAUAGGGGCGAAAGACUAAUCGAACCAUCUAGUAGCUGGUUCCUGCCGAGU
rnacentral:rRNA from 2 species